CGUAGUUGGAUUUCUGGUGGGAGCGGCCGGUCCGCCGCAAGGUGUGUACUUGGUUGUCUCCUGUCAUCCUUGUGGGAACUGCUCUGGCAUUAAGUUGUCGGGGUUAGGGAACACAUCGUUUACUGUGAAAAAAUUAGAGUGUUUAAAGCAGGCUUAUGCCGUUGAAUACAUUAGCAUGGAAUAAUAAGAUAGGACUUUGGCGUCUAUUUUGUUGGUUUGCACACCAAGGUAAUGA
rnacentral:rRNA from 1 species